rnacentral:rRNA from 1 species
GGCCGUCGUCAGUUCGUACUGUGAAGCGAUCCUGUUAAGUCAGGCAACGAGCGAGACCCACGCCCACCAGUUGCCAGCGUACUCUCUGGAGUGACGGGUACACUGUGGGGGACCGCCGGCUGCUAAAGCGGAGGAAGGAAUGGGCAACGGUAGGUCAGUAUGCCCCGAAUAUCCCGGGCUACACGCGAGCUACAAUGGUUGGUACAAUGGGUAUCUACCCCGAAAGGGGACGGGAAUCUCCUAAAACCAAUCUUAGUUCGGAUUGAGGGCUGCAACUCGCCCUCAUGAAGCUGGAAUCCGUAGUAAUCGCGUUUCAACAGAACGCGGUGAAUACGUCCCUGCUCCCUU